UGGCUCAGGAUGAACGCUAGCGACAGGCCUAACACAUGCAAGUCGAGGGGCAGCACAAGGAGCAAUCUGAGGUGGCGACCGGCGCACGGGUGAGUAACACGUAUGCAACCUGCCUGUAAGCGGGGAAUAACCCGUUGAAAGACGGACUAAUACCGCAUAAUACUAAAUUACUGCAUGGUAAUUUAUUUAAACAUUUAUGGCUUACAGAUGGGCAUGCGCAUGAUUAGCUAGUUGGAGAGGUAACGGCUCCCCAAGGCAACGAUCAUUAGGGGUUCUGAGAGGAAGGUCCCCCCACACUGGUACUGAGACACGGACCAGACUCCUACGGGAGGCAGCAGUGAGGAAUAUUGGUCAAUGGACGAGAGUCUGAACCAGCCAAGUCGCGUGCAGGAAGAAUGUCCUAUGGAUUGUAAACUGCUUUUGCAGGGGAAUAAAGUGCAUCACGUGUGAUGUUUUGUAUGUACUCUGCGAAUAAGGAUCGGCUAACUCCGUGCCAGCCGCGGC
rnacentral:rRNA from 1 species